rnacentral:rRNA from 1 species
GACGAACGCUGGCGGCGUGCCUAAUACAUGCAAGUCGAACGAGAGCGACCGGUGCUUGCACUGGUCAAUCUAGCGGCGAACGGGUGAGUAACACGUGGGUAACCUGCCCAUCAGAGGGGGAUAACAUCCGGAAACGGAUGCUAAAACCGCAUAGGUCUUCGAACCGCAUGGUUUGAGGAGGAAAAGUGGCGCAAGCUUCUGCUGAUGGAUGGACCCGCGGUGUAUUAGCUAGUUGGUGAGGUAACGGCUCACCAAGGCCGUGAUGCAUAGCCGACCUGAGGGGGUGAUCGGCCACAUUGGGACUGAGACACGGCCCAAACUCCUACGGGAGGCAGCAGUAGGGAAUCUUCCGCAAUGGACGCAAGUCUGACGGAGCAACGCCGCGUGGGUGAAGAAGGUUUUCGGAUCGUAAAACUCUGUUGUUGGGGAAGAACAAGUGCUAGAGUAACUGUUAGCGCCUUGACGGUAUCUAACCAGAAAGCCACGGCUAACUACGUG